GAGAACCUGCUUUCUUUACCUAGGACUAUUCCCCGAGGAUGUUUCCAUCCAGAAAAAAAAAUUUGAUCCGCCUGUGGGUUGCAGAAGAAUUAUUACCCCAAGGGGUAGAAAUAACACUAGGCGUUGCUGAGAAAUGCCUAAAUGAGCUGAUUCAAAGGUGCGUGAUUCAAGUGGGAAGAAUUAGCUCUCUUUGGCAGACUGAAAAACAUUCCGAAUCAAUGACCUGCUGAGAGACUUUUCUAUCUUAAAGGGAAAGGAAGAAAAUUUCCUCCAGAACCAUCACAGGAGUAAGGUAAAUCCAUCAACAUGUCAUUUAAAUAAAUCCCAAA
rnacentral:misc_RNA from 1 species